rnacentral:ncRNA from 1 species
UGUCUCCUCCACCUCCCCUGGUGGAUUCAGCCCCUGGCCUUACCGCCCGGGGCUUUUUUU